rnacentral:piRNA from 1 species
UGACAUGAAGCCCAAUCCC